rnacentral:rRNA from 1 species
UACGUAGGUGGCAAGCGUUGUCCGGAUUUAUUGGGUUUAAAGGGUGCGUAGGCGGUCUUUUAAGUCAGUGCUGAAAUACUCCAGCUUAACUGGAGGGGUGGCAUUGAUACUGGAGACUUGAGUAUAGUUGAGGUAGGCGGAAUUGACGGUGUAGCGGUGAAAUGCUUAGAUAUCGUCAAGAACACCGAUAGUGAAGACAGCUUACUAAACUAUAACUGACGCUGAGGCACGAAAGUGUGGGGAUCAAACAGG